rnacentral:rRNA from 1 species
UACCCGCGGCCCGAGUGGUGCUCAUUAUUAUUGAGCCUAAAGCGUCCGUAGCUGGCCGGGCAAAUCUCCGGGUAAAUCGGGCGGCUCAACUGCCCGAAUUCCGGAGACACUGCUCGGCUUGGGAUCGGGAGAGGGUGAAGGUACUCCCUGGGUAGGGGUAAAAUCCUGUAAUCCGGGGGGGACCACCAGUGGCGAAGGCGUUCACCUAGAACGAGUCCGACAGUGAGGGACGAAGCCCUAGGGCGCAAACGGGAUUAGAUACCCCGGUAGUCUAGGGUGUAAACGCUGCAGACUUGGUGUUGGGGGUCCUGCGUGGGCUUCCAGUGCCGGAGCGAAGGUGUUAAGUCUGCCGCUUGGGGAGUACGGUCGCAAGACUGAAACUUAAAGGAAUUGGCGGGAGAGCACCGCAACGGGAGGAGCGUGCGGUUCAAUUGGAUUCAACGCCGGAAAACUCACCGGGGGCGACGGAGGGAUGAAAGCCAGGCCGAAGACCUUGCCCGAUUCUCCGAGAGGUGGUGCAUGGCCGUCGUCAGUUCGUACCGUAAGGCGUUCUGUUAAGUCAGAUAACGAACGAGACCCUCGCCUUCAGUCGCGAUUUCACGAGCGAUCGUGAGAGCACACUGGGGGGAUCGCUGCCGCUAAGGCUGAGGAAGGAGAGGUCUACGGUAGGUCCGUAUGCCCCGAAUCUCCCGGGCAACACGCGCGCUACAAAGGUGGGGACAAUGGGAACCGACCCCGAAAGGGGAAGGCAAUCCUGAAACCCCAUCGUAGUCUGGAUCGAGGGCUGUAACUCGCCCUCGUGAAAAUGGAUUCCGUAGUAAUCGCGGGUCAACAUCCCGCGGUGAAUGUGCCCCUGCUCUU